AAAAGUGGAUUAGCGGCGGACGGGUGAGUAACACGUGAGUAACCUGCCUUAGACAUUGGGAUAGCCUCGGGAAACCGGGAUUAAUACCAAAUAAAAUCAUAAUGGCACAUGUCAUAACGAUCAAAACUCCGGUGGUCUAAGAUGGACUCGCGUCCCAUUAGCUAGUUGGUAGAGUAAAAGCCUACCAAGGCGACGAUGGGUAGCCGGCCUGAGAGGGUGAACGGCCACAUUGGAACUGAGAAACGGUCCAA
rnacentral:rRNA from 1 species